rnacentral:rRNA from 1 species
UACGAAGGGGGCUAGCGUUGCUCGGAAUCACUGGGCGUAAAGCGCACGUAGGCGGAUUGCUAAGUCAGGGGUGAAAUCCUGGAGCUCAACUCCAGAACUGCCUUUGAUACUGGCGAUUUUGAGUCCGGGAGAGGUGAGUGGAACUGCGAGUGUAGAGGUGAAAUUCGUAGAUAUUCGCAAGAACACCAGUGGCGAAGGCGGCUCACUGGCCCGGUACUGACGCUGAGGUGCGAAAGCGUGGGGAGCAAACAGG